CUUGGUUGUUGUCUAUUGAUGUUGCUGUUGGGUUCCAUGGAAACAGGUUCUAAGAUGGAAAUUUAUGUGCAGUAACAACUUGGAAGGAGUGAAGGAAGCAGGACUGGACAGAAGGUGAACUGCUAACCCCACAGGGACUCUGGACCUGGAUGGAUCAUCAGAGCGUCUUGGACUGAGGCAAGGUGGCUGGGCCUCUGUGCCCCUGCUUCCAUCAGGAGGAAGUCCUCACAGAGCUCACAUAGGAGGGUGAGUAUGAACAGAGGACCAAGGAGCAGACCCUGGGCCUCCGACACUUAAAGGCUGGGCGAGGGAAGAGACGCAGGGAAGGAGACUGAGACGAGGCAGGCGAGGAGGAAGAAACCAGGAGAGUGGUGUUGAGUUCCGGAUGCUCCACCGUGACUUUCAUUUGAUUUUCCCACGGCAGUGCAAACAAAAAGGAAGAUGGCGUGGAGAUAUUGAUUUCAGACGUAGUAUGAAAUGGAAUGAAGGGCUAUUUUAUAUUGAUAAAUGAUCCAACUCGAUGGAGAGAAAAGAUCCACAAUAAAAGUUCUAAAAGUACUUGAUUAUGCAUAUAUAUGUGACUCUCUGCCUUUCCCCCAAUCCUGCUGGAAUUGUUACCGAACCUAAAGUGAGUUCACUCACCCGUUGUGCAGCAAGCCAAUCUCUGACACCAGGUGUGGUGGAAGAAAGUAGGAAUUUUAUUUUUGCACAGCGCUGAGCAAGGAGGGCGGGCAGCUAACGCUGAAAUCCCAAACUCCCUGAAAAGCUUAAAGGAAGGGUUUUUAUUUGGGGUUUUAGGUAGGGGAGGGGGAGCAUAUGGCGUUGCUGGUUGGAGCUUUCCCACCAGCCUGUCUUUGGUCUUGAGACUACUUGCAGAGAGGAGAGAGCUCAUGACCUUGCUGGUCAGCAGCUUUCCCACCAGCCAGUAUCUCUUUGCGGGAGGAGAUAGUCCAGGUGCUUGUCCUUGGCGGUGUCUGUCUCCAUGGAGGAGAGUGGAUUCUGCAGCCAGGAAGCCAGAGAGUAAGCAGGGAAUGAGUGUUUUGGUUUUAAUCCCAUAUAUGCUGGGUUUAAUGUGGGGAAACUGAUAUCUGGGUCGGUAUUAGAAUGACCAGUCUAAUCUAUAAAGUGGAGUUACUACGGGAAAUUGGGGAGAAUAAAGAGCCUCAACUAUCAAGACCUCACAGGAAAAACUAAGUUAAAAGGAAAGAUAGAUAUUGUGUUUGUGAAGAUUCUUUUGGUUGUGAGUAAAAAAAAAAACCCACGUGAACUCCGUGUUCCAGUUAUCUAUUGCUACAUAACAAACCAUCUCAAUUCUUAGAGGCUUAAAACAAUUCAUUAUUCUCUCUCAUGGUUCUGUGGGUUAAUUGGGCUCAGCCAGGUGGUCC
rnacentral:lncRNA from 1 species